rnacentral:rRNA from 1 species
UUACCCAAUCCCGAUUCGGGGAGGUAGUGACAAUAAAUAACAAUACAGGGCCAACGGUCUUGUUAUUGGAAUGAGAACAAUUUAAAUAACUUAACGAGGAUCAAUUAGAGGGCAAGUCUGGUGCCAGCAGCCGCGGUAAUUCCAGCUCUAAUAGCGUAUAUUAAAGUUGUUGCAGUUAAAAAGCUCGUAGUCGGAUGUCGGGCUCGGGCAAGCUGUCGGCCUUUGGUCGGACGGCAGGCUCGGGUCUUUCUGCCUGAGGAACCCGGUUGCUUUAACGAGCUGCCGGUGGACGCAGGUCGUUUACUUUGAAAAAAUUAGAGUGUUCAAAGCAGGCUAGCGCUUGAAUACAUUAGCAUGGAAUAAUGGAAUAGGACUUUGGUGCUAUUUUGUUGGUUUAUGGGACCGAAGUAAUGAUCAACAGGGACAGUUGGGGCCGUUUAUAUUUCGUUGUCAGAGGUGAAAUUCUUGGAUUUACGAAAGAUAAACUUCUGCGAAAGCAUUCGGCAAGGAUGUUUUCAUUGAUCAAGAACGAAAGUUGGGGGAUCGAAGACGAUCAGAUACCGUCGUAGUCUUAACCAUAAACUAUGCCGACUAGGGAUCAGUGGAUGUCAAUUUGCGACUCCAUUGGCACCUUGUGAGAAAUCAAAGUUUUUGGGUUCCGGGGGGAGUAUGGUCGCAAGGCUGAAACUUAAAGGAAUUGACGGAAGGGCACCACCAGGAGUGGAGCCUGCGGCUUAAUUUGACUCAACACGGGGAAACUUACCAGGUCCAGACAUAGUAAGGAUUGACAGAUUGGAAGCUCUUUCUUGAUUCUAUGGGU